rnacentral:rRNA from 1 species
AGACCCGAAACCCGGUGAUCUAGCCAUGGGCAGGUUGAAGGUUGGGUAACACUAACUGGAGGACCGAACCGACUAAUGUUGAAAAAUUAGCGGAUGACCUGUGGCUGGGGGUGAAAGGCCAAUCAAACCGGGAGAUAGCUGGUUCUCCCCGAAAGCUAUUUAGGUAGCGCCUCGUGAAUUCAUCUCCGGGGGUAGAGCACUGUUUCGGCUAGGGGGCCAUCCCGGCUUACCAACCCGAUGCAAACUGCGAAUACCGGAGAAUGUUAUCACGGGAGACACACGGCGGGUGCUAACGUCCGUCGUGAAGAGGGAAACAACCCAGACCGCCAGCUAAGGUCCCAAAGUCAUGGUUAAGUGGGAAACGAUGUGGGAAGGCCCAGACAGCCAGGAUGUUGGCUUAGAAGCAGCCAUCAUUUAAAGAAAGCGUAAUAGCUCACUGGUCGAGUCGGCCUGCGCGGAAGAUGUAACGGGGCUAAACCAUGCACCGAAGCUGCGGCAGCGAACGUAUCACCCAAGACAACUUUACGGAGUUGACGAUUGACGGAGCGAAGCGACGUCAAAGCGUUCAUUAAAGUCGAGUUGGCUUAGGGAUACGUUCGUUGGGUAG